rnacentral:tRNA from 1 species
ACCUGGCUGGCUCAGUCAGUAGGGCAUGUGACUCUUGAUCUCAGGGUUGUGGGUUCAAGCCCCUUGUUGGGUG